UAGAGAUGAUAGCUUAAAUGGUUUGUAGGUUUUUGAUAGCUUACGAAACACUUGUUAAUGUGUAUUGAAGUAACUACACUUAUUGAUCACUCUUAUAACUUUUGUAGUUAAUCACACUGUAAACGAUUGUGCAAGAGACCUGACAGGUUCAAAAAAAAAAAAACCAAGUUUUAAAAAUAUAUAUAGUUUGGUUAAGAAGUUACUUUAACGAAAUGGUGUUGUUUGCUUGGAUUGUUGUUCCAUUUAGACUUCUAUAGUUUGGUUUAGAAGUUACUUUAACGAAAUGGUGUUGUCUGCUUGGAUUGUUGUUCCAUUUAGACUUCUAUAGGUUUUGUAGUUGUAGUAGAGCUGAUAGCUUUCGUAGUAAAAUUUAAUGAUCCAUUAAUCUAGAGCUGAUAGCUUUCGUAGUUGUAGUAUAGUAAUAACUCCUGAUUAGACAUAGGUAGAUAAUGGUUAGUUGGUUUU
rnacentral:lncRNA from 1 species